rnacentral:rRNA from 1 species
ACAGGUGCUGCAUGGCUGUCGUCAGCUCGUGUUGUGAAAUGUUGGGUUAAGUCCCGCAACGAGCGCAACCCUUAUCCUUUGUUGCCAGCGGUCCGGCCGGGAACUCAAAGGAGACUGCCAGUGAUAAACUGGAGGAAGGUGGGGAUGACGUCAAGUCAUCAUGGCCCUUACGACCAGGGCUACACACGUGCUACAAUGGCGCAUACAAAGAGAAGCGACCUCGCGAGAGCAAGCGGACCUCAUAAAGUGCGUCGUAGUCCGGAUUGGAGUCUGCAACUCGACUCCAUGAAGUCGGAAUCGCUAGUAAUCGUGGAUCAGAAUGCCACGGUGAAUACGUUCCCGGGCCUUGUACACACCGCCCGUCACACCAUGGGAGUGGGUUGCAAAAGAAG